rnacentral:rRNA from 1 species
UAAGGAAUAUUGGACAAUGGGCGCAAGCCUGAUCCAGCCAUCCCGCGUGCAGGAUGACGGCCCUAUGGGUUGUAAACUGCUUUUAUAGAGGACGAACCGCCUUCAUUUAUGAGGGUUUGACGGUACUCUACGAAUAAGCACCGGCUAAUUCCGUGCCAGCAGCCGCGGUAAUACGGAAGGUGCAAGCGUUAUCCGGAAUCACUGGGUUUAAAGGGUGCGUAGGCGGGCUGAUAAGUCAGAAGUGAAAGCUCAUCGCUUAACGAUGGAAUUGCUUUUGAUACUGUUGGUCUUGAAUUAGGUUGAGGUUAGCGGAAUGAGUCAUGUAGCGGUGAAAUGCAUAGAUAUGACUUAGAACACCGAUUGCGAAGGCAGCUGGCUAGACCUAUAUUGACGCUGAGGCACGAAAGCGUGGGGAGCGAACAGGAUUAGAUACCCCUGUAGUCC